rnacentral:snRNA from 1 species
AGCUUUGCGCAGUGGCAGUAUGGCCAAUGAGGUUUAUCUGAGGUGCGAUUAUUGCUAACUGAAAAAUGAUUUGACUGUUUUCUGAUCAAACUAUUACCAUAUUCAGAGAAAAAUAUAUGUCCAUUUGAGUAGGGA